rnacentral:lncRNA from 1 species
AGGUGCUUAUUCAGGCAGAAGAAAUAAGCAUCUGUAGCCAACGUAAAGGAAGCAUCUUCAAAAGGCAGUGCUACAAGGAUGUGAGCAGCAGUUUCCCUUCAACGAAUGGGUCAAACUCAUGGAAGCCACGAGCCUGCUGCUUCUGGCCUACACAAACAUGCAGCGACCAUAGUAAAGUUCUUGCAAAGACAUUCUACACGAACUUGCCCAAAGGCGGAAGGAAGGCACGCACAG